GACGAGGUAGCCGAGUGGUUAAGGCGAUGGACUGCUUAUCCAUUGGGCUAAGCCCACGUGGUUUCGAAUCCCAUCCUUGUCG
rnacentral:tRNA from 1 species